AUUGAACGCUGGCGGCAGGCCUAACACAUGCAAGUCGAACGAGUGGCGGACGGGUGAGUAAUGUCUGGGAAACUGCCCGAUGGAGGGGGAUAACUACUGGAAACGGUAGCUAAUACCGCAUACCAUCGGAUGUGCCCAGAUGGGAUUAGCUAGUAGGGGGGGUAAAGGCUCACCUAGGCGACGAUCCCGAGCUGGUCUGAGAGGAUGACCAGCCAAACGGGAACGGAGACAAGGUCCAGACUCCUACGUGAGGCAGCAGUGGGGAAUAUUGCACAAUGGGAGCAAGCCUGAUGCAGCCAUGCCGCGUGUAUGAAGAAGGCCUUCGGGUUGUAAAGUACUUUCAGCGGGGAGGCAUUACCCGCAGAAGAAGCACCGGCUAACUCCGUGCCAGCCGCCGCGGUAAUAC
rnacentral:rRNA from 1 species